rnacentral:lncRNA from 1 species
GCUUUUUUUAAGCCAUACAUAGACUAAUAUAUAGACUCAAUGCAAUCAUAUGCACACACACACACACAUACACACACAAUCUUUGUUUCUUUUCUUUUUUAUUAGACAUUUUCUUUAUUUACAUUUCAAAUCUAUCCCCAAAGUCCCAUAUACCCCCUGCUCCAGCCCUGCUCCCCAACCCACCCACUCCUACUUCCUGGCCCCAGCAUUCCCCUGUACUGGAGCGUAUGAUCUUCACAAGACCAAGGGCCUCUCCUCCCAUUGAUUAGGCCAUCUGACAGAGGGCUUUAAAAAAAAUGAGGGAGGGACUAGACCAUCUGACAGAGGGCUUUUUAAAACAAUCAGGGAGAGACGCUUAUUGGGUGAGGCCAGGAAGCAGAGGGGCAAGGUGAAUGUCCCAAGGCUUCAUGUCUCCCUGCGAGGAGUGCUGGAGCUCUUUCUGGUUAGGUCACUUUCUGACCUUGACAUUUUCAUGUGAACAAGGUGCUAGAAGCACAUUGUUAACCUGUGCUAAUUGUGGCAUUUAGUCAAAGAGCACUGCAGAAAAGCUCCAGGGUGUUAGGGAAAGAAUGUAUUUGCCUCUUGGCUCACUCCUCUUUGUGUGACAUCUUCUUAACAGUUUUUGUUUGGGCUAAUUUCGAAAUUACAUUGCUGUAACCACGGUGUUGAUUUUAAUGAAGCAUUAGGAACUAGUUUGGAAACAUGUUAAUUUGGGUGGGUCUUUUUAACAUGAGAGGAUACUUUUGUACCUAUGUUCAAGUUUUAGAUAUUGGCUUGGGACUAGCCAAGUCCAGGUCUCUACUUGGGUAGUUGUCUUGCAUCUUGAUUAGAUGGUUUCCUAAGGACUGGCAUUUAUGCAAGAAUCACUGGCUGAUAAAGCACCAGCAAAGACAAGGCCAAAACAAACAAACAAACAAACAAACAAAAAAACCAAACCCCUCACUGCUUGAAUAAACCAGACUGUUGAGUAUUUUCCCUUAAUAAUUAAUGCAAGCAAGAUUUUGCCAAAUAGCAUAUCAUUAUUAUCAGCUAAAUCGUCUUUAAAAUAUUGAGCCACCUCGUUCCAUAGUGAGAUGUCUAAGUAAAGGAAAGUGAUCAACAUCAAAAGCUGCAUAAAGAUCUGAGUUGGUUCCAGACUUUCCCAACCAAACUGAUGGAAAUAUUCCUGAAAAUAGCACAGUUGAUCACAUAGUUGAUGAGCUAGUCAGUGAACUAUGCAAAUUAGAUGAAUGAUUCUUUGAUAGUUCUAUGUCGAGGUUUGAUGGGACUGAGUCUCUUAUUAUAUGUGUCAAGUAUGUACCGUUAAAUAAAAUCUAAAUGUACUUUAUUUAAAAUCAAUUAUUUAAUGAAUUUCAUUUCAGAAAACUUAAUGGCAAGGACUGCUUUUUGGACCCCUGAGGGAAGGUUUCAGGCUGGGAGUUCAGCAUCUCCAUCAGUGACAUUAUGAUGUUAAGUUGGCUCACUUUCUGUAGUGGAUUUACUGACUUUCUUUCUGAGCAGCUGCCUUCCAUGCUAAAGCUAGACACAGAGGAAAGGAAACCACACAGACUUCACCUAAGAAACUGACUCAAACAAUCACUGUCAUAAUGCAUAAAGUCCCUCCCUAGUGACAAGGGUUAGGGUAAGUUGGACACUAGGUUAGAAUCAUUUUAAUCUCAAUCCUACAUGUUGUGGUAAAAAUUUAAUUACAGUUAGCAGUAGUUUCCUGUUGUUUAUUGAGACAAUAGUGACUUCAGGAAAUGUGUGGUACUCCAACAACACUACUGAAUUAUGCAUAUCUAUGAUAUAAUGAGAAUUCUGUAUUUCUUUUAACUCUAUGGUCUACUGACUUUGUGUAUAGCAGUGACACCAUUUUGUACCCUACAAUGUAAACUCCUGACUGAUGUUGCUACAGGGUUUUUUUCCAAGUUCUCAAAUGUCUCUGCCACAGUAACCAUAUUUGUGGAUAUUAAAAAUGCUUCCUAAGGUUUAAUUCACUGGGAAUAUUUGGUUUAUGCAUUGACUAAGGAAAUAGGUCAAGACUUCAUGGAAGAUAUUUUUAAUACCAAUAUGCUAAGCAGUACUUGUCUAUAGUUUUCAAAAUUUGGUUCACACUAGGCUGAUCAUGUUUUUCUACUUAAAUCAAGACAUUGCAGUGUGUAAUAUAGAAAUUUUGUAUGUACUAUCAGUCAACUGCUAAGAACUUAUGUGUAAACAUCUAAAAUUGGAGACUUCUGGGUCAAUUUUGAAAACUUGUGACUAAAAUUCUAUUGCAGUUGGGAAGUUUGUCACAGUUUUCAGUUUAUUGGACGUUUGUUCUAAAGAAAUAGUUGUUUCCAAAAGUGAAUUGGCAGGUGGAAGUUUCUAACCCAGAAUAAUCCUGGGUUUUAGCACAAUAAACUGUAUUUCAUCAGGGAGGAUUAAUUUUGCUUUUUUUCACACUUUAUUUAAAUGUGGAUAUUUUUUCAUGAUACAAAAUAAAAUGUGCAUUUUAUG